GGUGGUAACACAGCAAUGAAGUUUAUGAGAGUGAGGCCGUGAGAAUUUGAGUGGAGCAGGAAAGAAAUCAGAUCAUUGCCACACAGGGUGAAGAAGAACGCUUGAAUUCUGGGACUCCACUUUCAACAUCCUCAAAGGCAUCUAAUGGUUCAGAACAUACUGAAUAUCUGCACUUCCAGAAAUCAAGCCUUGAGUAGAACUCCCCUGAAAGCAGGACACCGGGAAGCUGAGAUGAGUUUUAGAGGUUACCAUACACAGAUGGCUUCCUGCAAUACAGAGAAGGUUCCUGGCAAGACAGUUUUCUGGAUAACGUUUGAAUCGGAUGUGAUGGAGAGUCUCAAGGCACAGGUGCUGAGAUGUGUGUGUAGACAUGCAAGUUAAAUACUAAAGAACAGGACAGAGAGGGCAGGAGGACUUCAUCUUGCAUUCAUCAGUGUGGUUGCCGAGCUACUCCUUGCUAGCUGCAGAAGUGAAGCCAGAGACGGGUGCUGGGGCUCACCUUUACUCCUGUCUGCCUUUGUCCUUCACUCGCACUUUGCAGUCCUGAAAUCUGUCUUUGAACAGUGAUAGCAGUUUCAGAUCUGGCACUACAGCUCAGCUCAGGCCAAACGUGAACAUAAGGAAGACGUGUGAAGCUGGUGAAAAGCCUGCAGGGAACAAUAUGCUGUCAAGGAUUACAACGCUUAAAGAAACAUAAGGCUGAUGAACAUGUGCAAAGGAUCUUAUGUCCUUACAUCCACAGGGAGUUUUGUGCCUCUGUCCUGUUAGCAUUAGUCAUGUAAACCUCUCAUUCAUCUACCUUGUGAAGACUGAUUUCCUUAGUCUUUGGUGUUUUCAGCUGUUUUUCAUUUGCCAGCUGAACUAACUCAGUGACUGCUUAUGUGCAUGGGAAUUUAUUAUAAAUUUUGAUUACAUAAAGCCAUCUUGUGGACUCAUACUUCAUUAGUAGUCUGACCAGUUACCCACUACAAUGCUAACGCACAUAUUUGCACUGCAGAUACUAUAGCUAACACGCAGUGGACAUUUAUGUGGAACACAAGAUGCAGUGUUUCACCAACUCUUUGCAUUAAAUUCAUAACAUCUGAGUUUACUUUUCUCUUACCAAGUGAGCAUAUGAUGAGAGAGCAGAGCACAAAAUUAAGCAUUGUAUAACCCGCUGAAAAUUUGACUUACAUCAAAGGAUCUGUCAGUGUAUUCUGCUGGAGAAAGCAAACUGCUUGGACUGCAGCUGUCUAGCCUGCUGGACAUGGACUUGCACCUUGAGACUCUUGGGUCCUUACUUUCUUCAUAGCCAUAGCAAAAUGGUCCAAGAGCUACUGCUCAAAAGGAUAACAUAAGAACAAAGUGUUGGCAUUAUUUUCUUCUUUUAGCCACCCUCUUCCUUAUCUUGUUUGAAUAAUUAAAAUAAUUCUUAGGAAUGCACAACACAUUUUGAAACCUUGACUCAAGCACCUGUUGAAAUUUUAUUGUUUGCCAGAAACAAAUCAUUUUGAUUUUUCAAAAAAGCCCUGAAGUGGACAAAAAAAGAAGCAUUUCUGUGUGGUAUAUCUUGAUAAGAAGGAUUUAACAGUCUGUAAUCUUGGUCAGUCUGAUUUCUACAAUUACGGAAAAUUAUGAAGAUUGAUGUUAGUUGCAAUAUAUCUUAUUACACAAACUAGUACAAGAUAAGUCUUCUCUUUGAAAUACAUAUUUCACUAAAACUAGCAUAUAUAAUAUAGUGAUUUUCUUUCUUUCUUUUCCAUGUCAGAUUGAUAAUAGACUGUGUAGGAAUGUGCUGAAAAACACAAAAAGAAAAAGUUGCAGCAAUUCAAAUUGUCAUGGCAAUAUCCAGAUUUUUCAAAAAGUUCGGUUCUGUUUAGCUAGUCACUUUAAUUUUCCUUCUCUAACUUGUCUCCAUUCUCUACCAUAAUGAUAAUUCUUUAUAUGACUGUCAGCCCUUUGCAUUGUGACAGCUUAAAUUAAUGUUUUGAUAUUUCUCUCUUUGUAAGAAUACAACAAAGAAGACAACUGCCAAGGAUAGGACAGAAACUGUAUGAAUGUAAAACAGACAUUGUGCACCA